rnacentral:rRNA from 1 species
AUUGAACGCUGGCGGCAGGCCUAACACAUGCAAGUCGAACGAGUGGCGGACGGGUGAGUAAUGUCUGGGAAACUGCCUGAUGGAGGGGGAUAACUACUGGAAACGGUAGCUAAUACCGCAUACCAUCGGAUGUGCCCAGAUGGGAUUAGCUAGUAGGUGGGGUAAAGGCUCACCUAGGCGACGAUCCCUAGCUGGUCUGAGAGGAUGACCAGCAGCACUGGAACUGAGAAACGGUCCAGACUCCGACGGGAGGCAGCAGGGGGGAAUAUUGCACAAUGGGCUCAAGCCUGUUGAAGACAGUCCGCGGGUAUGAAGAAGGCCUGCGGGUUGUAAAUUACUUUCAGCGAGGAGGCGUUACCCGCAGAAGAAGCACCGGCUAACUCCGUGCAAGCAGCCGCGGUAAUAC